rnacentral:rRNA from 1 species
AGCGAACGCUGGCGGAAUGCUUAACACAUGCAAGUCGUACGGGCAGCUUCGGCUGUCAGUGGCGGACGGGUGAGUAACGCGUAGGAACGUGUCCUGGGAUGGGGGAUAACGCUGGGAAACUGGCGCUAAUACCGCAUAUCUGCUGAGGCAGAAAGCCUUCGGGCGUCUUGGGAGCGGCCUGCGUCCGAUUAGCUUGUUGGUGGGGUAAAGGCCUACCAAGGCUUCGAUCGGUAGCUGGUCUGAGAGGAUGAUCAGCCACACUGGGACUGAGACACGGCCCAGACUCCUACGGGAGGCAGCAGUGGGGAAUAUUGGACAAUGGGCGCAAGCCUGAUCCAGCAAUUCCGCGUGGGUGAAGAA